rnacentral:tRNA from 1 species
UUUAGAUGUAGCUUAGUGGUAGAGCACUGGACUCAUAAGCCAGCACGGACGCAGGUUCGAUUCCUACCAUCUGGAUC